UCUCUCUCUCUGGCUAUACGGAUUUUUUUUUUUUUUUUUUUUUUUUUUUUUAGGAAAUAAUGCAACUAGAAAAAGAACACCAACCAAACCUUUGCCAAAAGUCAGCCCUAGUAGAAGCAUUGUUACUUCACCAAAGUAAAGGCUUUAUGAAAUAUGAUCACCUAAUAUACAAUAAUACGCCACCAAAUACCUUAACGCCCUCCAUCCAGUAACUGUUGUUACCCCCGGACCACAGUUUUCUCCACUGCUUUGAUUUAAGCAUUUGUGAACCUUUUAAGGUUUGUGACCGAGCAGGUGAGGCGACAGCGCUUUUGCAGGUGUUACGGUAGAUUCACAGAAUGUAACUGAGUGUAUAUAAGCAUAUAAGUUUCUACGUAACAUAUCAUAAUUUGUACAUGUUAUAAUAUCUACAGAUGUUAUUAUGUGUCAUAGCUUUCAAAAAGUAUAUUAUCUAGGAAAAGCGUAAAUAUGCAAUGAUAUAUGUGUGUGUGUGUGUGUGUGUGUGUGUGUGUGUGUGUGUGUGUGUGUUCCACUACAUGUAAAAGUUUGGAGGGUCGUAGCUUUCAAGAUACAGGAGGCUGAGGUUUGGGCCUGGGCCUACCCUUAGUGUGGGCAAGACUGCUAGAGCAUAAGAAAUACUGUUGCUCCUCUCCUGAAGGCCUGUCCGGAUGUUUAGUUUCUUUGGGGAGGUGAAUGCCCUGCCUGUGUAAUUAACUCUACAGAGCUAGGAUGUGCGAACAGGUGGACCUUUGUGCACAGUCGCCACCUUUUAAGGUAACCGUUUUUCAAUGAAUGGAAGGAGGCAGACUUGGAAUAAAUACGUAAAAAUAGUCUAUGUAUAAUCCACUCCUUGAAAAGAAAGUAGAACACAAGCACAGUUAUUUCUGGGGAGUGGUCACUUAAAUAUUUGUACCUAAUUAUUUCUACAAAGUUUUCCAAAGCUGUCUGAACAAGCAUCGUUCCUCGUUGAAGGUGUUCUGUGAUUAUAUCCUAUGAAAUGUUUAUUUUGAUAAUGAAGUGAUAACGCAACAACGAUGUUUAGGCUUGCUUUUUUUUUUUUUUUUUGGGGGGGGGGGGUCCAUAUUUCCUCAAAAAUUAUACUUCUUUACAGCCGGGGGAGGGGUAUGUGUGUGGGUGUGGGUGUGGUGGGUGGGUGUAGGCUUUGUUACUGUGCAAAAGACAGGUAAGAAUUUUUCACUUCAUCGGUCAAUCACUGCUAUUAAACUAUCAUUUAUAUAUUACUUCAUUUACUUAUCACUUUAAUAGUUGUUAUUAUUAAUUAUUCUCGCUUGUGAUUGCAUCGGUAAUCCGUGUGUCAAAUAACAGGUCAUGUGAAAUUUUAGUAAGAGCCAAGUAAGAACUUGCAAUUUACAAGCAAUGGCAACGAGCAGAUUUAUGGUACUCUGUAUUUUUGAGGAAGGUUCGAGAUGCAGUUCGAAUCUCUCCAGAAGUAAUCUACUAUUGGUUGACUAAGGUCACACGCUGUUAGCCGUUAUUUAUAUACUACUAAUAUUCACAUUAAUGAACUUUUAUAUACAUUUUACACAUGGAAGAGACUAUGGUGACAGGAUAAUGUAGAACUGGUAUCCACAAUUGAGCAUCGAAGCAGCAGUCGAACAAUCUCGAGGAGUCGGACUCGGACCAUUGUCGCUGACCAUCACCACCACCGCGCUCAUACCUGGAGCCGAGCGUCGGGAACGGGCAUGGCUCCCCGCCGUGCUGCAGGGAUCUUCCCAGGGAUUACGUUGUUCCGUGCAUGAACGGUUGGAGGACCGAUGGUGGGAAACAGCCAGCCAAGACAGGUCCCCUUCUGAAAGAAAUUUUCAUGUGCCGAGGUCUGGUAAAGUACUUCUUCGGCGCUGGAUGUCCAUCACCAAUGAAGAUUGCUUCAAUAAAUUCAUUCUGAUGAAGGGAUGAGAUAUACUGUGUAUCAGACUUGUUGACUAGUUAGUACUAGUUAGUAAGCAUCCAUUAUGUAAGAGUUCGAAGAACUCCCUUUUCUUUUUUUUUUUUAAUAAAAAUUUUUGACUGGUG